UACAAAUUAAAUUAUAACCAUAAACUUCAUUUAUACUAUCAAAUAAAAAUCUGAAUUUUCAUUGAUGUGUCUUAUUCUUUUUGGUUACCCAUGAAUGGCCCGAAAUACCCACUCUCUUCCUCCUUUGAUUUUAGGUUGUCGUACUGUUUUUCCCCAAUAUCUUCUUCGUUCAGUCAGAAUUUGCAUAUACUUCCUUCAUGAAAGUUGUAGAUCACGAAAAGUUAUUGAAUUUAGACCCAAAAAUCAUCCGAUUUGGAGUUCGGAGUAAAGAGUUAGACCCUCUGUAAGUUUUAUAUUGUUUUAAAGUCCAUUUUACUUCAUAAAAUAAUCAUACAACCUAAUUAUAGUUUAAAAUAGAUUAUGACAUAGUCUCUAUUACUACACCUUAACUACAUGAGUGGUGUUUUAGUUAAUAAGAUUUUAUUUUCAUGCUCAUAUAGUUAUAACUUAAGUUUAUGUAAUAUAAAGUAAUACUAAUUAAGUACACUUGGAUUUUUAAGUAUAAUAUUAGUAAGCUUAAUCUAUCAUUAUAGUCCCACUUUUUAGCCUAAUGAAAUGAGUAUCACUUUUAAGUUUUUAAUUAAGUAAGUCACUUAUUCAUGGACACUAACUAGUAGAAAAUAUCACUUAUACAAGUUAGAGUUUAACAAUGAGUUAGAUAUCACUUUACCAUUAAAGGUCUAAUUAAAAUAUAAAAGUUCUAUAAUCAUACCUUCAAGUCAUUCAACAUGAAUUCUCAUGAAUCUUAUAAGUAGUGGUUAUUACCAAUUAAAUAGUUUCACAUAAGUUAGUAUUCAAGUUACUAAAUUCAAGAACUAUAGUUUAAGUAAUAAAUGGUGAUAAUAAGGUUUCAUAACUAUUAAUUUCAUAAACACUCUAGUAAUUCAUAGGCACAUGAUGGAAAUGGAUCGUAGAGUUUAAAUCUAGAUUAAAAUAUUAUUAAGUCGUCUUUUAUUAAUCCUUGAAUAGAUUAGAAAGGAAAAGGGAUAUUACAAGCCUCACCCGGCUAUCAAGCAUAAUAAUCGCGAUUAGAGGUAUGGCAAAGCAUAUACAAGGGUGAUAUUAUGGAUUACGUUGAAGUGACUCUACAUAUAUUUGGGAUAUUUAGAAAUGUAUUAUGAGUAAUCAUUAUUACUCUAGUUGAGAGUUUGUAUAUAUAUUUUUAGAGACCAUUUUAAGGCUAUUAUUUUAUUUAUGGGCCCAUGACCCAUAGCUUAAGUUCCGGUUCCACUGUCAAUCAUGAGUAAUUAAGGUUAUGAAUUCUCGAGGCGUUACAGAACUGAGUUACAAAGUUUGUUCAAAUCUCCAAUUCGAGUCGAAAUCCAUGGAGGUAUUCACCUUCAUGUUUAAUUUGUCCUAUAUUUGUCCAGCCUGGUUUAUCCUUAUGUGUGUUAUAGAAUCUCAAUAUUCAGCUUUAAUUAAUUGAUUAUCUUAUUUAAUA